CGGUCCUGCUGCUGGCGCUCGGGCUGCGCGGCCUCCAGGCGGGGGCCCGCAGGGCCCCGGACCCCGGCUUCCAGGAGCGCUUCUUCCAGCAGCGUCUGGACCACUUCAACUUCGAGCGCUUCGGCAACAAGACCUUCCCUCAGCGCUUCCUGGUGUCGGGUUCUGGGUCCGGGGCGAGGGGCCCAUCUUCUUCUACACUGGGAACGAGGGCGACGUGUGGGCCUUCGCCAACAACUCGGCCUUCGUCGCGGAGCUGGCGGCCGAGCGGGGGGCUCUACUGGUCUUCGCGGAGCACCGCUACUACGGGAAGUCGCUGCCGUUCGGUGCGCAGUCCACGCAGCGCGGGCACACGGAGCUGCUGACGGUGGAGCAGGCCCUGGCCGACUUCGCAGAGCUGCUCCGCGCGCUACGACGCGACCUCGGGGCCCAGGAUGCCCCCGCCAUCGCCUUCGGUGGAAGUUAUGGGGGGAUGCUCAGUGCCUACCUGAGGAUGAAGUAUCCCCACCUGGUGGCGGGGGCGCU
rnacentral:lncRNA from 10 species